rnacentral:rRNA from 1 species
GACGAACGCUGGCGGCGUGCUUAACACAUGCAAGUCGAACGAUGAAGCCGGAGCUUGCUCCGGUGGAUUAGUGGCGAACGGGUGAGUAACACGUGAGCAAUCUGCCCUUGACUCUGGGAUAACUGCGGGAAACUGUAGCUAAUACCGGAUACGACACCUUGGGGCAUCCCAGGGUGUGGAAAGAAUUUCGGUCAAGGAUGAGCUCGCGGCCUAUCAGCUAGUUGGUGAGGUAAUGGCUCACCAAGGCGAAGACGGGUAGCCGGCCUGAGAGGGUAACCGGCCACACUGGAACUGAGACACGGUCCAGACUCCUACGGGAGGCAGCAGUGGGGAAUAUUGCACAAUGGGCGAAGGCCUGAUGCAGCAACGCCGCGUGAGGGAUGAAGGCCUUCGGGUUGUAAACCUCUUUUAGCAGGGAAGAAGCGAAAGUGACGGUACCUGCAGAAAAAGCACCGGCUAACUACGUGCCAGCCGCCGCGGUAA